CUUGAUAUAGAAAGUGUUUAUAAUUUUAAUAAUAAUUUAUAAGAGAAUCAUGUUGCAUUUAAAAAGUUUCCUUUAAGGAAAACGUUGACCAUGACAUUAUCUUCAUUCCAUAAAGGUUCAGUGACAGGGUAAUGACUCUAAAAAUGUGGCCGUGUGCAAACACUGUCUGCAUGGUUGGUAUCACAAGCUGGUACUUUUCCAAAAUACUUCUGAAAACUGGGCUAGCGACCAGGGCUUGGUGAAAAGAUGUUGAUGUUUUAAAGGAUUUUUACUCCAAAUAAAAGUUUUGAUUUAUAAAAAGGGUAUUACAAGAAUUUACAUUAUCAUUUUGAGCAGUAGUUAGCUUCUUGAUAAAUAUGUUCAUAUUUUCUGGGAGAAGAGUUUUGCCUUAUAAUAUAAAAAGAAAUAGCACUUGAAAAAGACUGGAAAAAUAUUUUGAGCAUGAAAACCUCAGUGACAAACAGGCAAAUGGCGCAAUAAUUUGGUUUUACACCCUCUUGGAAAACACAGCAGGGAUGGGCCAGGAGCGUUGAAAAUGUGUAAAUAUCCACAGCGAGGCCACUUCCCCCAUCAGGGACUUCUGCGACCACCAUGUGUGACCUCCGGGAAUGUGUGGAAACUGGUCCCAGAGCCCAGUGAGCCGGCUAGGAAGGCGGCCUCUUCUGAGGACACACAAAUGGCUCCAGAGCCUGUUUCUGUCUCGGCAAAGUGACAAGUGAGGCCACGAGAGGCCAGAAUAUAGCUCCCCACGGGCUAGAAUAUAGAAUGGCCAGCAGGCAAUGGGUGAAGAGAGGUUUCCGCCACAAGAGGAGAACUUCCUGCACUAUCCUCCCCACUGACUUGCAAGCAGGAGCUGGUGGAAAACAAAAUGAAUGAGGAGCAAAUGACUCUUGGAAAAACC
rnacentral:lncRNA from 1 species